rnacentral:misc_RNA from 1 species
UGUAGGAGCUGCCGAAGGCUGCGAUCUUUUGAUCUGUUUUUCUAGAAGCAAGAUCAAAAGAUCGCAGCCUUCGGCAGCUCCUACA